rnacentral:ribozyme from 1 species
UUAACGGGUGGGUGCGUAUGUCCACAUGCCCCUUUCUUAUUUUUUCUUUGAGUCUCUUUCGAGAUUCUCUUUCUCUCCUCCUUCCACGUUCUCCCUUCCUUUUUUUCUUUUGAGAGGCCUGCCGGUCGGUCGGUCGGUCCAUUUGAAGGACUGACCGACACAUGGUAAGGAGAUGCGGAAUGGAG